rnacentral:rRNA from 1 species
UACAGAGGGGGCAAGCGUUAUUCGGAAUUAUUGGGCGUAAAGGGCGCGUAGGCGCCAUUCAAGUGACGGGUGAAAGCCCUCGGCUUAACCGAGGAACUGCCUGUCAGACUGGAUGGCUUGAGACCGGGAGAGGUGAGUGGAAUUCCCAGUGUAGCGGUGAAAUGCGUAGAUAUUGGGAGGAACACCAGUGGCGAAGGCGGCUCACUGGACCGGAACGUGACGCUGAGGCGCGAAAGC